rnacentral:rRNA from 1 species
AUGAACGCUGGCGGCGUGCCUAAUACAUGCAAGUCGAGCGAACAGACGAGGAGCUUGCUCCUCUGACGUUAGCGGCGGACGGGUGAGUAACACGUGGAUAACCUACCUAUAAGACUGGGAGAACUUCGGGAAACCGGAGCUAAUACCGGAUAAUAUAUUGCACCGCAUGGUUCAAUAGUGAAAGACGGUUUUGCGGUCACUUAUAGAUGGAUCCGCGCCGCAUUAGCUAGUUGGUAAGGUAACGGCUUACCAAGGCAACGAUGCGUAGCCGGACUGAGAGGGUGAUCGGCCACACUGGAACUGAGACACGGUCCAGACUCCUACGGGAGGCAGCAGUAGGGAAUCUUCCGCAAUGGGCGAAAGCCUGACGGAGCCACGCCGCGUGAGUGAUGAAGGUCUUCGGAUCGUAAAACUCUGUUAUUAGGGAAGAACAACUGUGUAAGUAACUAUGCACGUCUUGACGGUACCUAAUCAGAAAGCCACGGCUAACUACGUG